UCUUUCUGGGAAAUGUAUUAGUUAGGCGGAAGACCAAAGAAGGUCUAGGCCGCGAAGGCUCCUGGGAAAUGUAGUCUGGAGGGACGACAGAGACGAGCCCUCGGAAGACACUGGUAGGAUUCCCCGCGCCCGCGCGGAGAGUGGGGUGUCCCUGAGGUGAAGCAAGCCUAAGUAAUGGUUACCACGGCAACGCGAGGGCUGGCUUAUUCCAGGAAAGCGGGUCUCUUGUUCACGUGAGCGGUUAGGGGUGUGGCUCUAACCUAGGAGGCGUGGAGAGGCUACUUGUGGCCUAUAGGAUGGACGCUUGCUGAGGUGGUUGACUUGGUGAGGCCGGGGCCUCUGAGGGCAGCCGUCUUGGGGUCUUGUGCAAACCGGCUGGCAGUGGGUGGCCCGGAGUACGGAGAGCUACACUGGGGUGCGAGGUGCGGCAGGAGGGCAAUGAGGUGAUCCCUGCUCUGUUGCAAGACGAGGCCUGAGCAGAGGCCCGUGCCCGUGCGUGACACGGAGCGUGACAGCAGGCGUGACACGGAGCGUGACGGCAGGCACACGAUGGCACUGGAGCAGCAGCUGUCACGGUCCGGCUCAUAAGCAUGAGGCAGAAAGCGACGACAGAGAAUUGUGUGGGCUUUUGAAACCUUAAAGUCCACACCAGUGUCACCCCUGCUCCAAUAAAACUAUCUCCUAAUCUUUUCCAAACAAUCCUACCAAAUGUGCACCAAGCCUCCCAAUAUAUGAGGCUGUAAGGGACCGUUGUGACUUAGACACACACAAGACCCCCACUACUUUAUUUUUUAUUUUCGUGUUGGGUUGGGUUUGGUUUGGUUUGGCUUUGGUUGGUUAUUGUUUGCUGUGAGGCAAGGUUUCUCUAACAGUCCUGGCUGUCCUGGAACUCAACUCUGUGGACCAGGCUGGCCUCAAACUCCAGUUCUACCUGCAUCUGCCUCUUAAGUGUUGGUAUUAAAGUGUGUGGCAUCCCACCCAGCUGUGUGGUUUUUUUCGAUGGGGGUCUCAUUCUGUGUACGUGAUUGGCCUGGAACUCAUAUGGACCAAGCUGGACUCACCUGCCUGGGCCUCCUCAGUCCUGCUUUUACAGACGUGGCCAGUGAGCCUUCAUGACUUGAAAAUCUAUGGUGACAUUUUCUCUUUUUUCACCCAGAACUAAAACCAACCCUCAUGACUAAGAAUGGGUGGGAGGAGCCUACGAGGUGUCAAGGUAGCACGUGGCAUUGGCAGUAGUGCUUGGAAAGUUUGUCUUUGGACCUAAGAGUUGAAAGAAUGAAGUUUUAGGGAAGAGUGUCCAAGCAGAGAACACAGCCAGGGCCCGGCAGUCUGCGCUGGUCUCUGGAGGACCCUGUAAAGGCCCAGGGCCCAGGCUUUGUUCCUCCCCCCACUACCAGGAUAACCAAAGUGAGUGGUCUGGGAAGGUCGGAUGCUGGCAGCACGACGUCUUCAUUAGGUUCCACUGGAUCCCCACCUGGUGUCCCUGCACCCGCCAAGGCCCACUCCCCCACUCCACCCCCAAGGCGAGCCUCGCUGUGCGCAUGCGCGGGUGCAGGCUUGGCUUGGGUAUAGGAGGUGAGCAUGAGUGAGGAGGGAGCCAUGGGGAGAACCCGAGAGCGCUUUCCGCACCCAGCUUCCCUGUGACUUGCUCAAGACCUCCCUGAGCCCAUUUCUUCCCUGGCUAAAUGUCCAACAGGAAUAUGCCUUGCAGUGUGUGCUUGUUAAGAGAAACCCACAAA